AGAAAAUAUAACACGAAUUAUUGUACUUUUUGAAAAAAAAAAUAUAAACACGCAAUUUAUAUAAUAGUUUAAAAUAAUUUCAACAUUUUACAAGUGUGAGGAAUUCAAAUACAGCUUAAGUUGACUCAAGCUCACAAAAUAGAUAUACUUGUACGAAUGUAUAUAAAAUCACAAAAUAAAAGCAAAUAGCUUUUCAGUGGCACAAUACAAAGCAUUUGCAGGACUUAAACUCAAAGCUAUGCGAUUCUAAAAUCAAUUUGUUAAAGGGAAACUGAAUGCGACUAUGGCUAGUGAGAAAAGUCAUACAAAUUGAAAUCUACCGAUAAGCAAAUCGAAUUGUAACAGUUUUUGUAGAAACAACAGCUCAGAAGCUCAGCAGGAAUUGGCGAAAGCUGUGAAAAAGACCAAUAAGCUUACAAAGAAACGCGGCGGCGAACUCAUAAAGGCAAGCAAAAUCACUUAGUACACGCUUUUUGUUGUGAUUACAACUAUUGUUGUUGCCUGUCGCAACAAUUGCAUUUUAUGACAGAAUGUUUGAACAGCAGCUAUCGGCACCAACCAUCAGCAACAGCAACACAAUGUCACAACGAAAUGACAGUUUGUUUGGCAAUCGAGAAUAUCGAUUUCAAGUGCGCAUAAAUACACAUACCUACAAACAAAUAUACAUGGAUAUGUGGGUAGUUGUGUGUGAGAGCAUACAAAUUGUGCAAAAUUUUACUAUGUCAGUAAAGUAAGCGGCAAAAUGUGCAAUAAACGAAAGCUUUAAAAUUUA